rnacentral:snRNA from 1 species
GUUCUUGCUUUGGCAACAUGUAUGAACACUGAAAAAACACAGAGAAGAUUAGCAUGGCCCCUCUGCAGGAUCACAUGCAAAUUUAUGAAACAUUCCAAAUAUAU